rnacentral:rRNA from 1 species
UACGAAGGGGGCUAGCGUUGCUCGGAAUCACUGGGCGUAAAGCGCACGUAGGCGGAUUGUUAAGUCAGGGGUGAAAUCCUGGAGCUCAACUCCAGAACUGCCUUUGAUACUGGCAAUCUCGAGUCCGGGAGAGGUGAGUGGAACUCCGAGUGUAGAGGUGAAAUUCGUAGAUAUUCGGAAGAACACCAGUGGCGAAGGCGGCUCACUGGCCCGGUACUGACGCUG